rnacentral:rRNA from 1 species
CCUACGGGAGGCUGCAGUGGGGAAUAUUGCACAAUGGGGGAAACCCUGAUGCAGCGACGCCGCGUGAGUGAAGAAGUAUUUCGGUACGUAAAGCUCUAUCAGCAGGGAAGAAAAUGACGGUACCUGACUAAGAAGCCCCGGCUAACUACGUGCCAGCAGCCGCGGUACUACGUAGGGGGCCAGCGUUAUCCGGAUUUACUGGGUGUAAAGGGAGCGUAGACGGUAGCGCAAGUCUGGAGUGAAAUCCCAUGGCUUAACCAUGGAACUGCUUUGGAAACUGUGCAGCUUGAGUGCAGGAGUGGUAAGCGGAAUUCCUAGUGUAGCGGUGAAAUGCGUAGAUAUUAGGAGGAACACCAGUGGCGAAGGCGGCUUACUGGACUGUAACUGACGUUGAGGCUCGAAAGCGUGGGGAGCAAACAGGAUUAGAUACCCUUGUAGUC